GUGCUCUAUAAAACACAGCAGUGGCUGCUGUGAAUAAGGCAGCUGUGAGCAUCCAUGAACAAGGUUUUGUGUGCCAUCAUGGCUUUCAAGCAAACUGUGAAGGUUAUCAGAGGUGGCAAGAAGAGCGAAAAGAGGUUGGCCAAGAAAAACAAGAAGGAAGGAAAGUUUGCAGAGUUCCUAAGAGGCUAGGAACUCCAGUGAGCAGAGGCUCUCUUUUUCCAGAUCUGGGAGUCCAAGAUUCUGACACUGAGAGAUCCUGAGUCACAGAGCUGAGGGCUCCAGACAGCAGAUCCUGGGUUUCUCUGUGCCCAAGUGCUUCGGGGAAUAAAUUCAACCGUCCAGGAGAAGAGUCUGAGACC
rnacentral:lncRNA from 1 species